GAUGAAGAACGUAGCGAAAUGCGAUAAUUAAUGUGAAUUGCAGAAUUCCGUGAAUCAUCGAGUCUUUGAACGCACAUUGCGCCUCAUGGCAUUCCGUGAGGCAUGCCCAUCUCAGCGUUAGAAAAUAUUCUCAAAUUUUAGUUUUGUGCUAAAAUUUGGAUCAUGUCAAGGAAGCUAUUACUAUUAUUGUGAUCGCUCUUUGGAAAUUGAUAGGUCUUUGAGUUGCUACUCAUAGAACGUGAUGAAUCUUUCUUCGUUCUAUUGUAAUUCACUCUGGUAGUACUAAAACUUGUAUGCCUGUGGCAUAUCUUGUAAUUUGACCUGAGAUUGGGUAGGGAUACCCGCUGAACUUAAGCAUAUCAAUAAGCGGAGGA
rnacentral:misc_RNA from 1 species